GAGAAACGGAUCUCAGAUCUACCUCCAAAGAUGGCGCUUCCUGAGUUAAUCCGACCAUCCUCCACCUCGCCAGCACUCCAGAGAAACCGAGCACACACCCGAGCUUCCGAUUUGAACCGCCGAGUCCGGCCGCAACUCGACCGUAAACCAGAGAUACUGAAGCAAAGAGGAGGGGGACAAGCCGUUUAGCACCAGGAGAAGUGGUUGAGAUGAACUAGGGGAUGGUGGGGGCGACCGACGGC
rnacentral:lncRNA from 1 species